UACGUAGGGGGCAAGCGUUACCCGGAUUCACUGGGCGUAAAGCGGGUGUAGGCGGCUCGGUCAGUCGGGUGUGAAAUUCCACGACUCAACCGUGGAAUUGCGCCCGAAACUGCUGAGCUUGGGGCCGGUAGAGGGAGACGGAACUGCCGGUGUAGGGGUGAAAUCCGUAGAUAUCGGCAGGAACGCCGGUGGGGAAGCCGGUCUCCUGGGCCGCGCCCGACGCUGAGGCCCGAAAGCUAGGGGAGCAAACCGG
rnacentral:rRNA from 1 species